rnacentral:ncRNA from 1 species
UAAGCGCCAGGACUUAAGUGAAAAAAAGAAACUCCGCCUCAUGUACAUUGGGUGGAGUAAGUUAGCCUAACUAAAUCAUAGAUUUAGAGGGAAAAAGGAAACUUCGCCUCAUAUAAAUUCGGUGGAGUAAGUUCGCCUAACUAAAUCAUAGAUUUAGAGGCUCACUUAAGUUGACGAGGAUGGGGAGUAUCGAAUCUUCGGCGGGUGCCCCACGGUAUCGCACUACCGUUAGCGAUUGAUAAAAACAGGAAGUGAUUUCUGUUACAAAGCAA